GGAUUAGAUACCCUGGUAGUCCACGCCCUAAACGAUGUCAAUUAGCUGUUGGGCAACUUGAUUGCUUAGUAGCGUAGCUAACGCGUGAAAUUGACCGCCUGGGGAGUACGGUCGCAAGAUUAAAACUCAAAGGAAUUGACGGGGACCCGCACAAGCGGUGGAUGAUGUGGAUUAAUUCGAUGCAACGCGAAGAACCUUACCUGGUCUUGACAUGUACGGAAUCCUCCAGAGACGGAGGAGUGCUUUCGGGAACCGUAACACAGGUGCUGCAUGGCUGUCGUCAGCUCGUGCCG
rnacentral:rRNA from 1 species